rnacentral:rRNA from 1 species
UUCCCCUAGUAACGGCGAGUGAAGAGGGAAGAGCCCAGCACCGAAGCCUGCGGCAGUGUUUGCUGUUAGGCAAUGUGGUGUGUGGGUCGGCUCGCGGGACCGUCACUCCACUCGAAGUCCAGCAUUGAGUAUGGUUGAUUGGAUUUGGCCCAUAGAGGGUGAGAGGCCCGUACGGGUGGAGGUUCAGACAUGUGCGGCGGUUCACUAGGCCGACCUCAGAGUCGGGUUGUUUGAGAUUGCAGCCCAAAGAGGGUGGUAAACUCCAUCCAAGGCUAAAUACUUGCACGAGUCCGAUAGCGAACAAGUACCGUGAGGGAAAGUUGAAAAGUACUCUGAAGAGAGAGUAAACAGUACGUGAAGCCGCAUGCAGGUAAACGGGUAGCGUCAAGCUGCGAGCCCUAAGAAUUCAGCUGACUGGGAUGUAGUGAACGUGCCUGGUGCGUCUAGUGGCCGGAGUAAGGUGUUGAUGGUCCACUCUUCUAACCUAGGGAGUGGGGUGGUGGGGCGUGUGAGCGCUUUGCUGCUAUGCGUGCCGGGUGUGUGCCGGGGCAUGCCGUCCAUGCGAGGGCCAACCAGUCAGUGCACUUUCUUUGUGGCGGACACCACAACCGGUGGAAUUGCCAGUCUGCUGUGGUCAAGUCGUGUUUACCUGGUGUCUCGUAUCCCGAGCCUAGGCGAGUGCGAUCGCGGGUGAGUGCUGUGGACGGCGCAGUGGUGCCUCGGUAUUGCUGUGUGUAAUCGUACACGCCUUGCCUUAACGUGCUGUCCAAUGUGUUGUAACUGCGUUGGGCCAGUCGGCAGACCACGGUGGCGAAAGUGACUGUGCAAGGCAUCGGAGUUGGCCACUUCAUGUAGUAGUCCUCAGUACGCGCGUUGCCGGCGGUGCUUUGCGGGGUGUGUGUCUAUCUGCGUGAGUCGGACUUGGUCGUCGUGUCGCCUGCGCAAAGUGGGUCCGGCGAUGGUCUUCGAUUUGCUGUGGGUCAGGCUGUGCGCCUUGUGUGCUGUGGCACUGGGAGUGGUAUAGUUUGUGGCGAUGUGGUAGACGAGCUACCCGACCCGUCUUGAAACACGGACCAAGGAGUUUAACAUGUAUGCGAGUCAAAGGGUCCUACGAAACCCCUAGGCGCAGUGAAAGUAAAGUUCAUGUCGCGCACCCUUUUACACAUACGCGGUGCGCUAUGAUGAGGUGAGAUCUCGCCGUUGGUCGCAACAGUGUCAGGUAUUUACCAGGCCUAAAGGGUGGCGAGCGCAUCACCGGCCCGUCCCAUGAUGUGGUCUUUGGCCAGUGUCCUGGUGUGUCGCGUUUGUUCGCGAUGUGCUGGUUCGCGGCUUUUGCGUCAUCGGGGCGGAGCAAGAGCAUACAUGUUGAGACCCGAAAGAUGGUGAACUAUGCUUGCGUAGGUUGAAGCCAGAGGAAACUCUGGUGGAGGGCCGUAGCGAUUCUGACGUGCAAAUCGAUCGUCAAACGUGAGUAUAGGG